rnacentral:rRNA from 1 species
CACGGAGUUAGCCGGGGCUUAUUCGGAUGGUACCGUCAUUAUCGUCCCAUCCAAAAGCAGUUUACAACCCGAAGGCCGUCAUCCUGCACGCGGCGUUGCUCGGUCAGGCUCUCGCCCAUUGCCGAAAAUUCCUUGCUGCUGCCUCCCGUAGGAGUCUGGGCCGUGUCUCAGUCCCAGUCUGCCUGGUCGUCCUCUCAGACCAGGUACCCGUCAUUGGCUUGGUGCGCCGUUACCACACCAACUACCUGAUGGGCCGCAGGCCCCUCCCACAGCGCAUUGCUGCUUUCCUCCCGAAGGAUCGUAUGCGGGAUUAGCACAUCUUUCGACGUGUUAUCCCCCACUGCGGGGCAGGUUACCCACGUGUUCCUCAGCCGUCCGCCACUCACACCCGAAGGUGUGCGUUCGACUUGCAUGCAUUAGGCACGCCGCCAGCGUUCAUCCUGAGCCAGGAUCAAACUC